rnacentral:lncRNA from 1 species
UUUAAUUUCUCCCUUCAUCCCAUUUCUUUAAGUGCUAUGCUAGCUAUUCAGAUGGAUAAAAGGGGUUUUUAUGAUAUCUCCAUAUUUAUGCACUUAUCUCCUUAAUUCUUUGACAUUUUGUUUCUUGAGGAGAAUGGGGAAGGCAGCCAUUGGAAAGCCAACUGAGCAACAGGUGAAGGUUUAUUAAGUGCAUAUUAUUGGAGACCGCACGUCUAUGUGGAAACGGGGUUCUCAGAAACCUACAGCAUGCCUCAUCUUUAGUUGUAUAUUGGAGACUUGCUUUGUCCCCUAUUCUGAAUGCGCUCACUUUUAGGAACAGAAACAAUAAAGAUCAGCACAUACAGUGUAUUCUUCAGUGGAUGAAAGGAGUGAUACUUGCCCUACUUGUAAACAGGUAACAACAUGCCGCGAGGAAAACGAUUCAGAGUUGCAGUCUCAGCUUGAGCAUACCUUACUUGUAAACAGGUAUACAUUAUUCCCGCACUUAUGAAUUACAUCUCUCUUUCUCUCUCGUGACAAUUUUGACAGUUAUGUGAUUACUGAUAUGUUUCUUCUGUUUCAUUAGGUAAUGAUUUUUGAGAAAAUCAUUUAGAAAGAUUUAUACUUGC